UUAGCGGCGGACGGGUGAGUAACACGUGGGUAACCUACCUAUAAGACUGGGAUAACUCCGGGAAACCGGGGCUAAUACCGGAUAAUAUUUUGAACCGCAUGGUUCAAUAGUGAAAGACGGUUUCGGCUGUCACUUAUAGAUGGACCCGCGCCGUAUUAGCUAGUUGGUAAGGUAACGGCUUACCAAGGCGACGAUACGUAGCCGACCUGAGAGGGUGAUCGGCCACACUGGAACUGAGACACGGUCCAGACUCCUACGGGAGGCAGCAGCC
rnacentral:rRNA from 1 species